rnacentral:rRNA from 1 species
UACGUAGGGACCAAGCGUUGUUCGGAUUUACUGGGCGUAAAGGGCGCGUAGGCGGCAAUUCAAGUCAGUUGUGAAAUCUCCGAGCUUAACUCGGAACGGUCAACUGAUACUGCUUUGCUAGAGUACAGAAGGGGCAAUCGGAAUUCUUGGUGUAGCGGUGAAAUGCGUAGAUAUCGGGAGGAACACCAGUGGCGAAGGCGACUUCCUGGCCUGUUCUUGACGCUGAGGCGCGAAAGCUAGGGUAGCAAACGGG